AAGAGAGCUACGCCGACAUAUAUUUUUCCUUUCAUUUCUUUUUAUUUAGUAAAAGCUUAACAGGCAGUUAAAACCAACGAAAACACCCUUUGAUAAGAGCAACCCAAUAAAAAAUUCAUAUGAAUAAAUUGGUGUGAAAAAGGUACCAUAAUAGUUUCAUCCCAUGUUUAUGGUCAAUCAAUAUGUCAACUACGGUGGGUAAAGACUCGAUGGCGUGCAACUGUGGAGGCCUAUGUGCAGCUGUGGACGAGUAUGGGCUGAAAAUGAUGAUGACAGUGGGGAAAGUCAGACAUUUGUUGGGGAUUUUUACUGUACGGAGCCAUCACUGUCAGGAGUGCAACUCGUAACCCUAUGGCGCCUAAAAGGAGGCCUCCGUCACGGUUACAACUGAUGAAUACACACAUUGUAUUAACAGAUACGUAAGUAUGUACCCAACCUCAUAAAGAAUUAAUAUGUGGAAGAAAAUCCAUGAAAAAAUCAAUACUUUCAAACAAAGUUGUACAAAAUAAAAUUGACUGUCUUAAAUAUUUUCCCGACCGUUUUCCAUUGGAUGUGUUAUUCCCGCCCGGAGGCAGCUCGCAGACUGCAUUCCUACAAUCUAGCUCUCUUGAUAUCUACCAAAUAUUCCAAUCUCCAUGCUGUAUAAAAUUGCAAUAUUUUCAAGAUACGAGAAUCUUCUUGUUGAAGAUAUAAUAGAUAUACUUUUUGAGAACAGAUCAAAUACUUGAAUCUUUUGUUUCAGCCUAAUAUGGAGAAGUAAUUUUGUUUCAUAUAAUUUGCCCUGCCAGUAUCAAUCAGUGUGACGGUGCUUUAGAAUUAAUCUAGAGUGUCAAAUAACCUUUUGUAUGCUGGCCACAGACGUCUUUCAAAUGCAGGAAAAAUUGAAUCAAGUAUUGAUCACCACUGUCACUCACAAUCACAUUUAGAUAUUUUAAAUCCUGGUUUCCUCACGAUGAUGUUCCUUGAGCGUUUGUCAAUGGUGUGUAAUAAAUAUUAAAAAGUCGAUAUACUUAGUUUUGAAAAAUACUUUUUGCUUUUGAGAAUGAACCUGCACCCCGUGUAUUCAAAUCCAUACAUACCACUACAAGGCAACAACGACAUUAAAAUCAAAAAAAUAAAAUUUAAUUAAUUUAAUUCAGUUUAUAAUUCUGCAACUAAAAUAGUUUUAACGUAACUAUGAAACAUCCCUCUCGGGCCAUUACACGAAAUGAACAGUGUUGCCAUGUUCUAACCGAAGUUAAAUUAAUAUAUCUAUUAUUAAUAGUGGCAACUAGUUUGAGAUUGUUUAGUCCCCGUUGUCGUAUAGAAUGAAUUGUAGGACACAAAAUUUAAUAUUUAUUUUGCUAGUUACCAGGAGUCAAUGUUGGGAUGGACUGGAUACGGAAGGUGUGGUCGUUCUGGUGCAAUUUAAAAGAGAUUAUUUUAUGUAAAGCUUUGUCUGUCUAUCCUAGGAUCAUUCUGUUCCUACCAAGUGGUCUUGACUAUUAUGUAAUUUGAACGGUGGAUCGAGUCCUGACUGAUUAAAAAUAAUGUAUACCAUACUAAGCCUUUGUCUUCCCACUGUUGGGCAUAGGCCUCCCCUUUCUCGUACCAAUUUCUACGGUCCCGUGCCAGCCACAUCCAGACUCGAUCCGUCAACCCAUCUUGAUCCCGGACGACCGGCGCUUUUUUUUGCUUUGUUUUUCCACCAUUCUUUCACCGGCUCAGUCCACCUGCCGUCACUUCGUCUGGCCAAGUGGCCUGCCUAACCCCAUUUAAGAGUUGUUAUUGUGGUACCAAGUUUCAUCU